GGGGGGGUGGAGGGGUAUUCGGUAUUUGUGUGGGUGCCAAGGGGAGGGUGUGUGUAUGUAUGUGUUGGACGGGGUGUGUGUGUCGAGUGUAUAUGUGGGGUGUAAUUGUGUGUCUUGUAUGUGUGUGUGGGGGUUUGUUUGUGAUGUGUGUGUGUGUGUAUUGGUAUCUGUGUGUGUGUGUGUGUGUGUGUGGGUGCAUGGGUGUUUAUGGUAUGUGUGUGGGUGGCAGCAGAGGACAGAAUGAAGUCCCAGAUCUCAUAACCCAGAUGACCAAUCGGGACGAAGCUGGCAGGUCAGCUUGGAGACAGAAAAAACAAACGCACCCUCACAACGGAGGGGUCGAUGUGGGGCUCACAGCGGACCUCAGAACCCCCAGAACCCUCAUAACAGGAGGCCUAGCAGGGGGUACGGCCAGACUCUCAGGAGGUGGAAGGAGUAUCAAUAUCUAGCCUAGUCUAGUGGAAGAAGAAGACAAAGACGAUCCAGGUCUGAGGACGUCUGAGGAGGUCUGGCAGAGGAAGAGGAGAAGAUCCCGCUCUGAGGAGGUCUUGAAGACGAGGAGGAGGAGGAGG
ensembl:lncRNA